GGGUGCUAGUGGCGCACGGGUGCGUAACGCGUGGGAAUCUGCCCUUUGGUUCGGAAUAACAGCUGGAAACGGCUGCUAAUACCGGAUGAUGACGAAAGUCCAAAGAUUUAUCGCCAGAGGAUGAGCCCGCGUUGGAUUAGGUAGUUGGUGGGGUAAAGGCCUACCAAGCCGACGAUCCAUAGCUGGUCUGAGAGGAUGAUCAGCCACACUGGGACUGAGACACGGCCCAGACUCCUACGGGAGGCAGCAGUGGGGAAUAUUGGACAAUGGGCGCAAGCCUGAUCCAGCAAUGCCGCGUGAGUGAUGAAGGCCCUAGGGUUGUAAAGCUCUUUUACCCGGGAAGAUAAUGACUGUACCGGGAGAAUAAGCCCCGGCUAACUCCGUGCCAGCAGCCGCGGUAAUACGGAGGGGGCUAGCGUUGUUACGGAAUUACUGGGCGUAAAGCGCACGUAGGCGGCUUUGUAAGUCAGAGGUGAGAGCCUGGAGCUCAACUCCAGAACUGCCUUUGAGACUGCAUCGCUUGAAUCCAGGAGAGGUCAGUGGAAUUCCGAGUGUAGAGGUGAAAUUCGUAGAUAUUCGGAAGAACACCGAGUGGCGAAGGCGGCUGACUGGACUGGUAUUGACGCUGAGGUGCGAAAGCGUGGGGAGCAAACUAGGAUUAGAUACCCUGGUAGUCCACGCCGUAAACGAUGAUAACUAGCUGUCCGGGCACUUGGUGCUUGGGUGGCGCAGCUAACG
rnacentral:rRNA from 1 species